GUGCCCGUACGGCACCCUUCGNGNNAGCGNNNNCGGGUGAGUAACGCGUGGGAAUAUGCCCUUUGUACGGAAUAGUCCUGGGAAACUGGGGGUAAUACCGUAUGCGCCCUUCGGGGNAAAGAUUUAUCGCCAAAGGAUUAGCCCGCGUUGGAUUAGGUAGUUGGUGGGGUAAUGGCCUACCAAGCCGACGAUCCAUAGCUGGUUUGAGAGGAUGAUCAGCCACACUGGGACUGAGACACGGCCCAGACUCCUACGGGAGGCAGCAGUGGGGAAUCUUAGACAAUGGGGGCAACCCUGAUCUAGCCAUGCCGCGUGAGUGAUGAAGGCCCUAGGGUUGUAAAGCUCUUUCAGCUGGGAAGAUAAUGACGGUACCAGCAGAAGAAGCCCCGGCUAACUCCGUGCCAGCAGCCGCGGUAAUACGGAGGGGGCUAGCGUUGUUCGGAAUUACUGGGCGUAAAGCGCACGUAGGCGGACCGGAAAGUUGGGGGUGAAAUCCCGGGGCUCAACCCGGAACUGCNUUCAAAACUAUCGGUCUGGAGUUCGAGAGAGGUGAGUGGAAUUCCGAGUGUAGAGGUGAAUUCGUAGAUAUUCGGAGNACACCAGUGGCGAAGGGGGCUCACUGGCUCGAUACUGACGCUGAGGUGCGAAAGGGNGGGGGCAAACAGGGAUUAGAUACCCUGGNAGUCACCGCCGUAANCNAUGAAUGCNAGUCGUCGGGNAGCAUGNUNUUCGGUGACACCCCUAACGGAUUAAGCAUUCCGCNUGGGGGGNACNGUNGCNAGAUUAAAACUCAAGGNAUUGACGGGGNCCCCCCNANCGGGGGGAACAUUUGGUUUAAUUCGNNGNACGGGGNNAACUUUACAACCCUUGNAU
rnacentral:rRNA from 1 species